CCUGUCAGUACAAGUCAGCUACAGGAAACAUGGAUUUGGUCAAAAACAGAACUUUGCACCCACAUCUCCGCGAUGACGAGGCUCUGGUGGUGGAAAACGCCAUCCGUCUGGCCAUAGACUCUGUGAUAAACGUUUUGUACGGCGUAAACAGCGCCAAGAAUUACGAGUAUGAGCGGAUGGUGGCCGACAGGGACAAAGAGAUCCAGCGCCUGGAGUGCAGACUGACAGAGAUGGAGCACGAGCUGCAGGUGCUGCGCCGGCAGGGAUGCAUUUGCGGGCUGUUAAAGAACGAGCACAGCCUCGGCAGGUCCCGGAGCUCCGGUGACCGGCAGAAGGGAGUUCAGAGCGGCUUUGAUCCGGGAUGCGUUGACACCGAGCUGACAGCGGAGCAGCAGGACUGUGAGACGAGUUUAUCGUUGGGUCUUUUCGCAAGACCCCCCUCACACGUUUCCUCCCACAGCCAGGAGUCAGCUCUUCCAUCUUCCCCCAGCAGAAUGGUCCUGGAGCACACCUGCACCUCCCGCUCCUCCGAGGUUUCGGGUGUAACGGAGGCCGCCAGAAAUAUGCCGACAUCUCCCAGCAGCCUCGUGGUCAAAGAAGAGCCAUGUGACGUCGACACGGUCUUAAUCAAGUGGGAAAUGAGUGAACAUCAGCAGAGCACGGGCAGUCCGUGUCAGGACAAAGAGAGUCUCAGUGCAAAAAAAAAAAUGGAGACUGGAGAAGGAAGGACGUUCAGGGAGAAACCACAGGCAGACCCGGGUGGAGUCGUAAUGACUGAGGCAGAGCACACGAGGAUUUUAUUGCGAUACUUCCAGGAAGGUGUUAUGCAACCCUCUGACCAACUUUAUUUGAAGAGAUCUGGUGCAUUAGAUCAUCUGUGGACCCUCUGACGACAACUUAAAUGUUAUUCUACCACAACAGAGAAUAAAUGAGAACAAGAAGAAGAGCGUGCCAAUGUCGGAGCUGCCAGAGGAAGCUCAGAGACUGAAGAGGGCAGCCUGGAGAGCAGCUUCCAGACGAUAUUAUGCUCGAAAGAUAGCUCGCCAGCAGGCAAACCCAUCACAAUCCAGCCCCUUCCCCCACAUCGCAAACUCUCAGAAUUCACAGCCCAGCUCUUUUGUGGAUAAGAGGAGGAGGACACUGAUAUCGGAGCUACCUGAAGAGUCUCAGACGCUGCAGAGAGAAGCUUGGAGAGCCGCAUCCAGGAGGUACUACGCUAGAAAAAUCGCUCGGCACCAGACGGAGACAACACAGUACAGAAACCUGCUGGAGAACAUAAACCCAUCUGGAGACACGCAGGGACCCAACAGGGAAGGACCUCACAUGAACACUGGAGGAAUAAUGUGCAGCUGAUAGACAGAAGUUUUACAUUUUAAAUGUUUCUGUUCAGCAGAUUGGAGGGUCCUUUUUACUGCG
rnacentral:lncRNA from 1 species